GACGAACGCUGGCGGCGUGCUUAACACAUGCAAGUCGAGCGGUAAGGCCCUUUCGGGGGUACGACGAGCGGCGAACGGGUGAGUAACACGUGGGUGACCUGCCCUCAGCUCUGGGAUAAGCCUGGGAAACCGGGUACUAAUACUGGAUAUGACUCCAUGACGCAUGUUGGUGGGGUGGAAAGCCUUGUGCGGCUGAGGAUGGGCCCGCGGCCUAUCAGCUUGUUGGUGGGGUGANGGCCUACCAAGGCGACGACGGGUAGCCGGCCUGAGAGGGCGACCGGCCACACUGGGACUGAGACACGGCCCAGACU
rnacentral:rRNA from 1 species